rnacentral:rRNA from 1 species
UACGUAGGGUGCGAGCGUUGUCCGGAAUUAUUGGGCGUAAAGAGCUCGUAGGCGGUGUGUCACGUCGGCCGUGAAAACCUGCAGCUUAACUGUGGCGUGCGGUCGAUACGGGCAUCACUGGAGUUCGGCAGGGAGACUGGAAUUCCUGGUGUAGCGGUGAAUGCGCAGAUAUCAGGAGGAACACCGGUGGCGAAGGCGGUCUCUGGCCGAUACUGACGCUGAGGAGCGAAAGCGUGGGAGCAAACAGG